UACGUAGGGUGCGAGCGUUAAUCGGAAUUACUGGGCGUAAAGCGUGCGCAGGCGGUUCGUUGUGUCGGCGGUGAAAGCCCCGGGCUCAACCUGGGAAUGGCCGUUGAAACUGGCGAACUGGAGUGUGGCAGGAGGGGGGUGGAAUUCCGCGUGUAGCAGUGAAAUGCGUAGAGAUGCGGAGGAACACCGAUGGCGAAGGCAGCCCCCCUGGGCUAACACUGACGCUCAGGCACGAAAGCGUGGGGAGCAAACAGG
rnacentral:rRNA from 1 species